UACGAAGGGGGCUAGCGUUACUCGGAAUUACUGGGCGUAAAGCGUGCGUAGGUGGUGAGUUAAGUCUGUCGUGAAAGCUCCGGGCUCAACCUGGGAAUGGCGAUGGAUACUGGCUCGCUAGAGUGCGGUAGAGGAGAGUGGAAUUCCCGGUGUAGCAGUGAAAUGCGUAGAGAUCGGGAGGAACAUCAGUUGCGAAGGCGGCUCUCUGGACCAGCACUGACACUGAGGCACGAAGGCGUGGGGAGCAAACAGG
rnacentral:rRNA from 1 species